UACAUUUCCCCUGGCUAUUUUUAUAGACUGCACCUGACUGGAGGCAGGCUCUUACUCUGAAGAAGGUAGUGGAAGAUCGGAUCACCAAAGAUGGAGUACUUGGUAUCGGAAUCGCUGCGACUGCUGUGGGACUUAUAAUUGGUGGAA